CAGCAGCCGCGGGAACACGUAGGGGGCGAGCGUUGUCCGAAGUUACUGGGCGUAAAGAGCGCGUAGGCGGGUCUUUAAGUGAGGAGUGAAAGUCCGAGGCUCAACCUCGGAACUGCCUUUCAUACUGGGGACCUUGGGUGUGGGAGAGGCGAGUGGAAUGGUCGGUGUAGCGGUUAAAUGCGUAGAGAUGUGGAGGAACACCAGUGGCGAAGGCGACUCUCUGGUCUGUAACUGACGCUGAGGAGCGAAAGCGUGGGGAGCGAACAGGAUUAGAUACCCGUGUAGUCCCUGUCUCUUAUAC
rnacentral:rRNA from 1 species